rnacentral:rRNA from 1 species
AAAGAUUAAGCCAUGCAUGUCUAUGCACACGCCCUUGAAUGGUGAAGCCGCGAAAAGCUCAUUACAACAGCCAUAGUUUAUUGGAUGUGUACGUUCCUACAAGGACACCUGCGGUAAUUCUGGAGCUAAUACUUGCAAUAAACGACGACCUUACGGAAGUCGUGCAUUUGUUAGACUAAACCAAUCGGUUCUUCGGAACCGCCAUUUGGUGAACUCUGAAUAACUUAGCUGAUCGCACAGUCUCGUACUGGCGACGAAUCUUUCAAGUGUCUGCCUUAUCAACUUUCGAUGGUAGUUUACACGACUACCAUGGUUGUAACGGGUAACGGAGAAUAAGGGUUCGACUCCGGAGAGGGAGCCUGAGAAACGGCUACCACAUCCAAGGAUGGCAGCAGGCGCGCAAAUUACCCAAUCUCAGCACGAGGAGGUAGUGACGAAAAAUAACGAGGUGGCUCUCUACGAGGUCCAUCGUCGGAAUGGGUACAAUUUAAAUCCUUUAACGAGGAUCUAUUGGAGGGCAAGUCUGGUGCCAGCAGCCGCGGUAAUUCCAGCUCCAAUAGCGUAUACUAAAGUUGUUGCGGUUAAAUGGCUCGUAGUUGGAUCUGCGCUCGGUGAAAGCGGUCGCCCGAUGGGUUGUUACUGCUUCUCCCGGGCUAACCAUUCGGUUUUCCCUUGAUGCUCUUCAUUGAGUGUCCUGGGUGACCGGAACGUUUACUUUGAAAAAAUUAGAGUGCUCAAAGCAGGCGAUUUGCCCGAAUAUUCGUGCAUGGAAUAAUAAAAGAGGUCCUUGUAGCCUUUUAUUGGUUAUCGCUACGAGGAAAUGAUCGAAGGGGACAGACGGGGGCAUUUGUAUUGCGACGUUAGAGGUGAAAUUCUUGGAUCGUCGCAAGACAAACUACUGCGAAAGCAUUUGCCAAGAAUGUUUUCAUCAAUCAAGAACGAAAGUCUGAGGUUCGACAGCGAUCAGAUACCGCUUUAGUUCAGACCGUAAACGAUGCCAUCUGGCGAUCCACCGGCGUUAUGUAUGACUCGGUGGGCAGCCACCGGUAAACCUUUAAGUCAGGUUCCGGGGGAAGUAUGGUUGCAAAGCUGAAACUUAAAGGAAUUAACGGAAGGGCACCACCAGGAGUGGAGCCUGCGGCUUAAUUUGACU